rnacentral:sRNA from 1 species
GAGACCCAACAUCCGAAACGUCCACUAAUGGUGUGUUUGCAAUUUUUUUUGUAAUCAAUAAAAACCUUUUAUUCUCCCCUUUGGGAGAUAAAUUACAAAUAAAUGAAAUCAAUGGCAAAGCCUAACCGCCGAACAUAGUAAAUAGAAAGAUAUGCACAGGGCCAGAAAGUGCGUUGGAAUCGGCAAUGAAGCAUAUACAAAUUAGUUUUUGCUAAUUUCUCACACUCAUUGCAUAUUCUAAGUAAAGUCGAAAAUAACAACAACAACGUAAAAGAAACAGGUUUCGAUGUCCACCAGAAUUGUGGUGGAAAUGAACCAAUCACAUUGACAUUGAUGCUAAAAAGACAAUAUCUCAGUCAAAAAUAGAUUGAAGAUCACUAGAUUAAUAAUUGACACAUGAAGAGAUGUUGUAGAGCAGGCCACAGUUGUUAGUUUGUUGUGGUAAUCUUUGAUUCCAUAGGAAUUCUCUUGUGUGCUCUAAGCUUAUCUUCUCGAGAAAAAGCAAGCAAUGAACUGUGGAGGUUCAGAGAAAAACACAAUAGCGCAGAAGAUGGGGGCCUAACCAACCUUCCAAACGUCCAUUAAUGACAAUGAAAACCUUCCAUUGUAGUGAUAUUUAUUUUCAUGGUCAAUCAGCCUGUAUCUCUCCCCUUUGGAAGAUUAAUAAAAAAAAAACGAAAUCAAUGACCAAACCUAACCGGCGAACAUAAAAAAUAGUUGUUGUUGUUGUUGUUGUAGCAGUGUGUUUUACACCGAGACGGCAGCCCUUGCCGAUGGAGGAUUCCAUCGGGUCAAUCCGAAAACUGAUACAUGUUUUUCUAUAAUUGAAGUGUCAGCAGUGAUGGCAUAUCCAUCACAAGUAAGUUGAGCCUUUAUAAAACGUUUGAACAUCAUUUCACAUUUCAACUUCGGAGCUGAACACAAGGAAGUUAUUCAAGUGAUACUUUUGGAGCUGAUAACUAUUUUUGAACACAUAAAAAAGGAAAACACUCAAUUUCAGACAUACUUCUAUUUACUAUGUUGGUAUAGCCCUAUUGAUUCAUAGACCUCUGUUUAUAUGAUGGAUUACAUUCUGUUGUGCGUUGAUAUGUUGUUUUUAAUUAUGCUUUCUUUUGGAAAAUUUCCCAAUGUAUUCUUAUCAUGUGUGAAAUGGAAAAUAAAUGUAGAUUUGUUUACACUGUGACUGUUCUUUUGUUUCUUGGUAGUCAAUGUACGAUAGAUAGAUUGAUGGAUAGAUAAUAUGAG